UUUCCGGUUGAUCCUGCCGGACCUGACUGCUAUCGGAUUGAUACUAAGCCAUGCGAGUCUUUGCAGUAAUGCAAGGCAUACGGCUCAGUAACACGUAGUCAACUUACCCUAUGGACGAGGAUAAUCUCGGGAAACUGAGCAUAAUACUCGAUAGAUCAUAAUGCCUGGAAUGGUUUAUGGUUAAAAUGAUUCGUCGCCAUAGGAUGGGACUGCGGCCUAUCAGCUUGUUGGUGAGGUAAUGGCCCACCAAGGCGAUUACAGGUACGGGCUCUGAGAGGAGAAGCCCGGAGAUGGGUACUGAGACAAGGACCCAGGCCCUAUGGGGCGCAGCAGGCGAGAAAACUUUGCAAUGUGCGAAAGCACGACAAGGUUAAUCCGAGUGAUUUCUGCUAAAGAAAUCUUUUGCAAGUCAUAAAACCACUAGUGAAUAAGGGGUGGGCAAGUUCUGGUGUCGGCCGCCGCGGUAAAACCAGCACCUCAAGUGGUCAGGAGGAUUAUUGGGCCUAAAGCAUCCGUAGCCGGCUCUGUAAGUUUUCGGUUAAAUCCAUGUGCUCAACGCAUGGGCUGCCGAAAAUACUGCAUAGCUAGGGAGUGGGAGAGGUAGACGGUACUCAGUAGGAAGGGGUAAAAUCCUUUGAUCUAUCGAUGACCACCUGUGGCGAAGGCGGUCUACCAGAACACGUUCGACGGUGAGGGAUGAAAGCUGGGGGAGCAAACCGGAUUAGAUACCCGGGUAGUCCCAGCUGUAAACGAUGCAGACUCGAUGAUGCAUUGGCAUAUAGCCAGUGCAGUGUCGCAGGGAAGCCGUUAAGUCUGCCGCCUGGGAAGUACGUACGCAAGUAUGAAACUUAAAGGAAUUGGCGGGGGAGCACCACAAGGGGUGAAGCCUGCGGUUCAAUUGGAGUCAACGCCGGG
rnacentral:rRNA from 1 species